rnacentral:rRNA from 1 species
ACGAACGCUGGCGGCAUGCCUAACACAUGCCAGUCGCACGAGACCUUCGGGUCUAGUGGCGCACGGGUGCGUAACGCGUGGGAACCUGCCUUUAGGUUCGGAAUAACUCAGAGAAAUUUGAGCUAAUACCGGAUGAUGUCUUCGGACCAAAGAUUUAUCGCCUUUAGAUGGGCCCGCGUUGGAUUAGCUAGUUGGUGGGGUAAAGGCCUACCAAGGCGACGAUCCAUAGCUGGUCUGAGAGGAUGAUCAGCCACACUGGGACUGAGACACGGCCCAGACUCCUACGGGAGGCAGCAGUGGGGAAUAUUGGACAAUGGGCGAAAGCCUGAUCCAGCAAUGCCGCGUGAGUGAUGAAGGCCUUAGGGUUGUAAAGCUCUUUUACCCGAGAUGAUAAUGACAGUAUCGGGAGAAUAAGCUCCGGCUAACUCCGUG